rnacentral:rRNA from 1 species
GAUGAACGCUGGCGGCGUGCCUAAUACAUGCAAGUCGAGCGAACAGACGAGGAGCUUGCUCCUCUGACGUUAGCGGCGGACGGGUGAGUAACACGUGGAUAACCUACCUAUAAGACUGGGAUAACUUCGGGAAACCGGAGCUAAUACCGGAUAAUAUAUUGAACCGCAUGGUUCAAUAGUGAAAGACGGUUUUGCUGUCACUUAUAGAUGGAUCCGCGCCGCAUUAGCUAGUUGGUAAGGUAACGGCUUACCAAGGCAACGAUGCGUAGCCGACCUGAGAGGGUGAUCGGCCACACUGGAACUGAGACACGGUCCAGACUCCUACGGGAGGCAGCAGUAGGGAAUCUUCCGCAAUGGGCGAAAGCCUGACGGAGCAACGCCGCGUGAGUGAUGAAGGUCUUCGGAUCGUAAAACUCUGUUAUUAGGGAAGAACAAAUGUGUAAGUAACUAUGCACGUCCUGACGGUACCUAAUCAGAAAGCCACGGCUAACUAGGUG